CUUUCAUGUAGUGUGUAACAUAGCUCUAAGUGAAUGAAAACAUCCUGCAAAGUUUUAAAUCUGAAAUUGCACCAUAUAUAAAGUAAUUGUCUCUUAAAAGUAAGAGUCGACUCUGAGUCAAUUAAACGAGUCGUUUGUAAAAUGAAUCCCAAGCCGUUUCGUUGUGACGUCAAAACGAAACAUUAGCAUAUCGCCCGCCCACGUAUUGCGCGCGCAGACACCAGGGAAAACUUCAACCUAAAUGCGUUCAAUGAAGGAUGGGUCAGUACCCAGUUUAUUUGGACCAGCUUCUUUCUCCGCCGAAUCACAACCUGUCCUUGUCGGGAAAGGUUCCUCAGCAGACCCGUGAGAGAACGGAGCUCAGCGUCCGUAGGGCUUCGCAACAGGUCAAGAAUCACCGGCAACAUCCGCUCCUGCUCCAGCGCCACACGACUCAACACAGAGGCCCACUAAGAGAGAAAAAAGGAAAAUGGGCUCCCGCUGUUGCCUCACGUGUCGCUGUGCUUGUCUCGCAGCUCUGCAGGAUGCGGUUGUACAGACCGACUAUCUGAGGGUGCCACAGCCAUUCUGCUCCCUUAGGGACUCUUGCCACUUCAGAGAAGUACGCUGCUGAGAGCACAUAAUUACACUAAUGUUCAAAAGUUUGGGCAGCUGAUGGGGUCAUUGUGCCGCGUGUCCUGUGCUCGAGUGGGUCCUUCCAGACGCAUCUGAACUGAAGCAGGGAUCUCAGAGUACAGCUGAUAAGAGACUUGGAACUGAAUCCAGGGCUUUUGGAUUGGUAUCUCACAGUGGAUGAGUGGCCGUUAAAUUCUGGAAAAGAGGACCAUUAAGUACAAUGUUAAAACAAUGUAUUUGUUUAUGAGCAUAUUUGUGUCUAAUUUGUGUGUAUAUUAUUUCCAUUAAAAAAAAAAAAAAAAAAGGAAAUUCUAUCAUCAUUUGACUUACAAAAAAAAAAAAAGACUUUCUUCUCCGGAACAGAAAAUACAAUAUUAUAAAGAAUGUCCCACCUCUUUUUGUCUACAAUUAAAGCCUGCGGGAUUCAAUACAACACUGAGACAUUUGUUCACAAUAUUUUCUUUUGUGUUCCACAGAAAAAGGUUUUUUUUUCUUUUCUAUUUUGCUAUCAAGAUAAUUAUUUUCAAGAGAAACAAGAACUACUUCUCUUCCAGAUGGCUUUAAUUUUGAUGGAAUUUCUUCCAAGCAUUACAUUGGUCAACAGUGACACAAGACCCAGCUGUGUCACCUGAUCUUUGUUUGGCAUUCAGCUCUCUGACUUUGUGCUUCAGCAAAUUUUAAGAGAUCGGGUUUCUAUCAGUGCUUGGCUUCUCAACCCAGUCUGCUGCAAACAGUGCUGAUUACCUGUCUACAUCUAAUAGAUAUGUGAACAUACAUUAGAUUUAAAUCUAUGAAACAAGGAAGUUAUUACAUGGCUGAGAGGGGAAGUCUGCAAUAGCAAUCACACCGUAAAAGAAUGAAACAGAAGGAAAAGAAGAUGACAUCAUAGGGAGGUCCUUUGUCUUAUUUUCAAAGUUUUUUGGAGGUACUUCAGUGCUCUAUUUUCUUUCUUUUAUGUUCUUUAUUGUCUUACUCUCUUUUUUCUCUUUCUUUCCUCUGUACACUAACUUUUGUAGACAGACAAACAACUUGAGUGGUUGAUCCCUGUAUGAAAGCAAUGGGACAAUAAGAAACAGAAAUUGUCUACAUUCAACAAACCAAAGUGAGUCAGCAAUCCAUUCCAGUACCACUGGAUA